ensembl:misc_RNA Metazoa_SRP Metazoan signal recognition particle RNA
GCCUGGUAUGGUGGUGCAUGUCUGUAAUCCCAGCUACUCGGGAGGCUGAGGCAGGGGAAUUGCUUGAAUCCGGGAGUCUGAGGCUGCAGUGAGCUGUGACUGUGCCACUGCACACCAGCCUGGGCGACAGAGCGAGACCCUGUCUCAA